rnacentral:rRNA from 1 species
GGGUUGUGAGGUUAAGCGACUAAGCGUACACGGUGGAUGCCCUGGCAGUCAGAGGCGAUGAAGGACGUGCUAAUCUGCGAUAAGCGUCGGUAAGGUGAUAUGAACCGUUAUAACCGGCGAUUUCCGAAUGGGGAAACCCAGUGUGAUUCGUCACACUAUCAUUAACUGAAUCCAUAGGUUAAUGAGGCGAACCGGGGGAACUGAAACAUCUAAGUACCCCGAGGAAAAGAAAUCAACCGAGAUUCCCCCAGUAGCGGCGAGCGAACGGGGAGGAGCCCAGAGCCUGAAUCAGUGUGUGUGUUAGUGGAAGCGUCUGGAAAGGCGCGCGAUACAGGGUGACAGCCCCGUACACAAAAAUGCACAUGCUGUGAGCUCGAUGAGUAGGGCGGGACACGUGGUAUCCUGUCUGAAUAUGGGGGGACCAUCCUCCAAGGCUAAAUACUCCUGACUGACCGAUAGUGAACCAGUACCGUGAGGGAAAGGCGAAAAGAACCCCGGCGAGGGGAGUGAAAAAGAACCUGAAACCGUGUACGUACAAGCAGUGGGAGCACGCUUAGGCGUGUGACUGCGUACCUUUUGUAUAAUGGGUCAGCGACUUAUAUUCUGUAGCAAGGUUAACCGAAUAGGGGAGCCGAAGGGAAACCGAGUCUUAACUGGGCGUUAAGUUGCAGGGUAUAGACCCGAAACCCGGUGAUCUAGCCAUGGGCAGGUUGAAGGUUGGGUAACACUAACUGGAGGACCGAACCGACUAAUGUUGAAAAAUUAGCGGAUGACUUGUGGCUGGGGGUGAAAGGCCAAUCAAACCGGGAGAUAGCUGGUUCUCCCCGAAAGCUAUUUAGGUAGCGCCUCGUGAAUUCAUCUCCGGGGGUAGAGCACUGUUUCGGCAAGGGGGUCAUCCCGACUUACCAACCCGAUGCAAACUGCGAAUACCGGAGAAUGUUAUCACGGGAGACACACGGCGGGUGCUAACGUCCGUCGUGAAGAGGGAAACAACCCAGACCGCCAGCUAAGGUCCCAAAGUCAUGGUUAAGUGGGAAACGAUGUGGGAAGGCCCAGACAGCCAGGAUGUUGGCUUAGAAGCAGCCAUCAUUUAAAGAAAGCGUAAUAGCUCACUGGUCGAGUCGGCCUGCGCGGAAGAUGUAACGGGGCUAAACCAUGCACCGAAGCUGCGGCAGCGACGCUGAUGCGUUGUUGGGUAGGGGAGCGUUCUGUAAGCCUGCGAAGGUGUGCUGUGAGGCAUGCUGGAGGUAUCAGAAGUGCGAAUGCUGACAUAAGUAACGAUAAAGCGGGUGAAAAGCCCGCUCGCCGGAAGACCAAGGGUUCCUGUCCAACGUUAAUCGGGGCAGGGUGAGUCGACCCCUAAGGCGAGGCCGAAAGGCGUAGUCGAUGGGAAACAGGUUAAUAUUCCUGUACUUGGUGUUACUGCGAAGGGGGGACGGAGAAGGCUAUGUUGGCCGGGCGACGGUUGUCCCGGUUUAAGCGUGUAGGCUGGUUUUCCAGGCAAAUCCGGAAAAUCAAGGCUGAGGCGUGAUGACGAGGCACUACGGUGCUGAAGCAACAAAUGCCCUGCUUCCAGGAAAAGCCUCUAAGCAUCAGGUAACAUCAAAUCGUACCCCAAACCGACACAGGUGGUCAGGUAGAGAAUACCAAGGCGCUUGAGAGAACUCGGGUGAAGGAACUAGGCAAAAUGGUGCCGUAACUUCGGGAGAAGGCACGCUGAUAUGUAGGUGAAGUCCCUCGCGGAUGGAGCUGAAAUCAGUCGAAGAUACCAGCUGGCUGCAACUGUUUAUUAAAAACACAGCACUGUGCAAACACGAAAGUGGACGUAUACGGUGUGACGCCUGCCCGGUGCCGGAAGGUUAAUUGAUGGGGUUAGCGCAAGCGAAGCUCUUGAUCGAAGCCCCGGUAAACGGCGGCCGUAACUAUAACGGUCCUAAGGUAGCGAAAUUCCUUGUCGGGUAAGUUCCGACCUGCACGAAUGGCGUAAUGAUGGCCAGGCUGUCUCCACCCGAGACUCAGUGAAAUUGAACUCGCUGUGAAGAUGCAGUGUACCCGCGGCAAGACGGAAAGACCCCGUGAACCUUUACUAUAGCUUGACACUGAACAUUGAGCCUUGAUGUGUAGGAUAGGUGGGAGGCUUUGAAGUGUGGACGCCAGUCUGCAUGGAGCCGACCUUGAAAUACCACCCUUUAAUGUUUGAUGUUCUAACGUUGACCCGUAAUCCGGGUUGCGGACAGUGUCUGGUGGGUAGUUUGACUGGGGCGGUCUCCUCCUAAAGAGUAACGGAGGAGCACGAAGGUUGGCUAAUCCUGGUCGGACAUCAGGAGGUUAGUGCAAUGGCAUAAGCCAGCUUGACUGCGAGCGUGACGGCGCGAGCAGGUGCGAAAGCAGGUCAUAGUGAUCCGGUGGUUCUGAAUGGAAGGGCCAUCGCUCAACGGAUAAAAGGUACUCCGGGGAUAACAGGCUGAUACCGCCCAAGAGUUCAUAUCGACGGCGGUGUUUGGCACCUCGAUGUCGGCUCAUCACAUCCUGGGGCUGAAGUAGGUCCCAAGGGUAUGGCUGUUCGCCAUUUAAAGUGGUACGCGAGCUGGGUUUAGAACGUCGUGAGACAGUUCGGUCCCUAUCUGCCGUGGGCGCUGGAGAAUUGAGGGGGGCUGCUCCUAGUACGAGAGGACCGGAGUGGACGCAUCACUGGUGUUCGGGUUGUCAUGCCAAUGGCACUGCCCGGUAGCUAAAUGCGGAAGAGAUAAGUGCUGAAAGCAUCUAAGCACGAAACUUGCCCCGAGAUGAGUUCUCCCUGACUCCUUGAGAGUCCUGAAGGAACGUUGAAGACGACGACGUUGAUAGGCCGGGUGUGUAAGCGCAGCGAUGCGUUGAGCUAACCGGUACUAAUGAACCGUGAGGCUUAACCUUACAACGCCGAAG